CAACAACAGAACGGUGUGGAGGUAACCCCAACAACAGAACGGUGUGGAGGUAACCCCAACAACAGAACGGUGUGGAGGUAACCCCAACAACAGAACGGUGUGGAGGUAACCCCAACAACAGAACGCUGUGGAGGUAACCCCAACAACAGAACGGUGUGGAGGUAACCCCAACAACAGAACGGUGUGGAGGUAACCCCAACAACAGAACGGUGUGGAGGUAACCCCAACAACAGAACGGUGUGGAGGUAACCCCAACAACAGAACGGUGUGGAGGUAACCCCAACAACAGAACGGUGUGGAGGUAACCCCAACAACAGAACGGUGUGGAGGUAACCCUAACAACAGAACGGUGAGUUAACAGAACGGUGUGGAGGUAACCCCAACAACAGAACGGUGUGGAGGUAACCCCAACAACAGAACGGUGUGGAGGU